rnacentral:lncRNA from 1 species
GAUUAGGGUUUGGUUAGGGUUUAAUUUAGGAUUUGGAUUAGGAUUUGGUUAGGAUUUGAAUUAGAGUUUGGAUUAGGAUUUGGAUUAGGGUUUAGAAUUUGGUUAGGGUUUAGGAUUUGGAUUAGGAUUUAAGAUUUGGUUAGGAUUUAGGGUUGGAUUAGGGUUUAGGAUUUGGUUAGGAUUUGGGUUAGGGUUUAGGAUUUGAUUAGGAUUUAGGGUUGGAUUAGGAUUUGGGUUAAAAUUUAGGAUUUGGUUAGGAUUUGAUUUAAGGUUUGGAUUAGGGUUUAGAUUAGGGUUUAGGAUUUGAUUAGGAUUUGAUUUAGGAUUUGAAUUAGGGUUUGAUUUAAGAUUUGGUUUAGGAUUUAGGGUUUGAAAUAGGGUUUGAUUUAGGGUUUAAUUUAAGGUUUGUUUAGGAUUUAUUAGGGUUUAAGAUUUAAUUAAGUUUGGUCUAAAGUUUGAGUGAAAUUCAUUAGGGUUUUAACUAGAAUUAAAUUAAGGUUGAAUUGACAUAUAUUUGAGUAAUAUUAUUGAUCAUUCUAAUAUUUCUUUAAGAAUUUUAUUAUUUGUUUGAAAUUUCUUUGAGUUGUUUUGAAUUUGAUUACGUUUGUUUACUAUUAUUAUAGUCUAAUUAGAGCAUUGUUAGUAUUCUAUUAGAAUUAGGAUUUUGUUAUCGCAAUUUCUAUUCUUCCUUCUACAGCCAGGUGCCCAGAGCAUUCUCAAGCAAGUCUUCACACAAUACGACAGCGUGUGUUUUGAAUCAUCACUAGGCUUGUUGGAGCAUGUCUUUUUCAAGAUUUGAGUUCAAUAACACUUAUCGGCUAGAAAAACAACAAGGUUUGUUUGAUGUCAUUUCCAAAUGUUCUUAUCUUGCACUUAAAGAAGGAGAUGCAUCUUUUGAUCAACAAUUUUUUUUUUUAUUGAA